CUUUAGUUCAAAUAACUCACGGAGGAAAGAUCCUCCUCUACCUGCUCAGUUGCGUCAUUAUUUACAGUAGUGGACUGAACUAGUCAUAAACUAAAAAUAUUGGGAUGGAUUCGUGCCAACAGGACGGCACGUACAUGUAUUAGAUUACGAAGUUUGCGUCCUAAUUUCUUGACUAUCUAUCCAGUGAUCAUACCAUACCUCAAAGAGAGGUAAUAGUUGGUUUCCCAGCUUCUAUGAGCUGUAAUAUCCAGUACGAAAAUGUACGGCACUAGACACCGUUUUAGUCUGUCCAGGCAGAAAAUGUGAUGUAUCACAUUUCGAUAUCGUGGAUUAAGAGAGUCUGGACUGUUCGAAGACGAUACAAUAGACCAGACUGUUCGGCUAGAUAAGUCGAUCGAUCCAUUUCUCAAUUACGCCUCCUAUAUCAAUCUAUAUAUUAUGUAGAUUGAUCUUCAUAACACUGCAGUAUGCGGUGAAGCAGAAUGUGAUGACGACCGUUCAUCAUCUGAAGCGAGAUUCCAGGACAGUCGCUUAGUUGGUUCUCUGUCGGACUGAUAGAUAGAAUGAUCGUUGCUCGGUUGGACGCAACUUGAAAGCAAGACUGCCGUUUUCUGACUUUUGCAUAUGAGAUAUCUAAGUAUAUAUGCCCUUGUACGUACUUGUGUAACUGAGUGCAUGACUCAUAAUACAGAUCUGGAAGGAUAACGGAUAC
rnacentral:lncRNA from 1 species